UCCGCAGCCUCUGCAAGGGAGGGGGGAGUGGGGUGACCCCGAGUCACCCUGGGGAUCCAGCCCAGUGGGGGCCCCGCCCUGCUGAGCUCCCCACCACCCACGCUCAUGCUCGCGCCCCUCCCUGCUCUGCCCUGGAUACGGGGCUGCGCCCUCCCACCAGGCCCCUGUCCUCGGCCCUCCACGGCGUCCUGCCAAGGCCGGAAUCCCCACGGGACGCCUCCCAGGCUCUACCCUGAGUCUCCGUGUCGUCCAUGUGUGGACCUGGCUCUCGGUGUCCCCGCUGACGGCCAGUGGCAGUCCCCUGUACCUGCAAUGCCCCCGAGCUGGACCCUCCCCGGCGGCGCCGGCUCCCCACCAGGGGCCCCACCCCCAGCCCCUGUCCAUCUCCUAUUGGCUGUCACCCUGUCAGUCCAGUGCUGACCCGGGGCCCCACCCCCAGCCCCUGUCCGUCUCCUAUUGGCUGUCACCCUGUCAGUCCAGUGCUGACUCUCACCAGCCCGGGACACCGCGUCCCCUCUGUGCCCUGAGCCACGAUGCUCUCUGGACAGGGCUGUAGGCGGAGCCCUGCCUCCGCCUCCGGACAGGAAAGGCUGCCCUACCGUCCAGCGGUGACCACCCGGGAGCAGCCGCCUCCACUGUUCACCACCUUUCCCCACGAAAGCAGGGCACCCCAGGAAGCCGCUGCGGGUCCUCGGGGCCCAGGCAGGAGCUGGCUAACGUCUCAGUGGCCCCCACCCCACCCUCCGUACGCCCUGGACAGCGUCUGACCACACGGAGGCUCUGACCCGAGCUGGCCACAGUGCCCCCAGGGCCAUCUGGAGCUGAGGGCGGAGGAAUGGUGACCUGGGCAGGAAGGGGCAGGUGCUGCGCAGCUCUCUCUGCUAUGACCUGGGAAAGCAAUGGAGGAUGGUCCAAGUCCUUGGGCCCCUGCACCCGCGUGGGAGACCUGGAAGAAGCUCCUGGCUCCUGGCUUCAGUUAGCACAGCUCCGGCCAUUGUGGCCCACUGGGGAGUGAACCAGUGGAUGGAAGACCUCUCUCUCUCUCUCUCUCUCUCUCUCUCUCUCUCUCCUUCUCUCUCUGUGUAACUUUGACUCUCCAAUAAAAUAAAUAAAUCUUUUUUUUUUUAAUUUAUUUUAUUUGAAAGGCAGAGCUACAGAGAGGCAGCGGCAGAGAGAGUGGGUGGGACUUGGGCCAUUCUCCAUGGCUUUCCCAGGAGCACUAGCAGGGAGCUGGAUCGGAAGUGGAGCAGCCAGGACUCGAACCAGUGCCCAUAUGGGCUGCCGGCAGUGCAGGCUGCGGCUUUACCUGUGAUGCCACAACUUUUCCACACUUUAUAGAGUGCCCGCCUUUAUCCCAGGGCAAACCGUGCAGGGGUCUGGUGAUUUAGGUGAUUUAGUUUACGAGUUCUGAAAGUCUGCCCUGCGGGCCACGCCCCACAGGAUGCGCUGCAGUGUCAGCUCUGGGGCUGUGUGUGUGAGGCUGUGACAGUGACAGUGUCAGCGUGUGAGUGUGUGUGUCAGGCUCUGCUCCCCUUCCAUCGACACCAGGGAGCCGUGUGGGGAAUGUGCCGGCUCCGUUCCCUGUGACGCGGGGAGGUCGCCCUCCUGAUUGUGGAAAGCUGAGGGGCCGCCGCACCUGCCCUCUUGUGAGCAGGCAGAGACGCACCUGCUGGUGCAGCAGCCAGGAGCAGCCGGGAGCAGCCGGGAGCAGGCAGGAGCAGCCGGGAGCAGCCGGGAGCAGCCGGGAGCAGGCGGGAGCAGCCGGGAGCAGGCAGGAGCGGCUGGGAACAGCCAGGAGCGGCCCCAGCACACUCUGCUUGAGUGGCCGUGCCCCCGCUGUCCACUGUCAGUGCGGCCGUGCAGGUCUGGGCUCGUUUGCCCAGGGUUAGCGCCCACCUGGGGUGACGAGGGUUUCGAGCAGAUGCCCUGGGCUUCCCUCACUGGGAGUCCCAGGGCCCCCGAGAGCGGUAGGAGAGCCUGCAGAGACCGUGUGGACCCCCCACAAAGCGAGUGUUGGAAACUCGGUCCAUGCAGCAGCGUGGCUAGGCUGUGAGGGCUGCUGGGGCCGCACCCAGCUCCUGCUCCAGCCCCGUGCUCCUCGGUGUCCCAGAGCGUCCAGGCAGACGCCGCCUCUCAGCCCCGGCCUUCGCGCUCCGGAGCUCGGCCAUCACCUUGGUUCUCUGUAGGUCACCCAGUCUCUGUCGUAGGAGCAGAAGCUGGACUGAGCCACUCCUUAGAAGAAAUCCACUUAUUUUUGGUUGUGGUAAGAUACACUGAGGCCGGCCAGCGGGGCUGGGGUCCGUGGGCCCCUCAGACGGAGGAGGACUGUCCGUCACCACCGGGCUGCUCCGUGGCUGGAAAGCCUGGCUCAGCCCGGCCGGCGUCUCCGCACGGCAGCUUCCUGUGCUGCGUGUGUGACCCUGCGGCCUUAAAUCUCACCUCCGGGGGCUGCAGGUCUUCCAGCCAGAGCUGGCGGAGGGGGCUGAGCCCCUGGGGAGACAGUCGGCCGUCUCCAGGAGACCCCCCCCAUGAGCCCCGAGCCAAUCAGCACACGGAUGUGAGACCCCGCCCAGUGGGCGCCCCCACAGAAUGACCCGGUGGACGGACAGUGACGCCUUAGACCUGGACGCUGCCUCGGAGCCGGCGUCCCGCCCGGGCUCUCCCGCUCUCCUCUCCACCAGACGCCUUCUCUGCCGCCUGCCGAGCAUCAAAAGUUUCUUUGUGGGGCCGGCCGUGGCUCACUUGGUUAAUCCUCCGCCUGCGGAGCCGGCAUCCCAUAUGGGCGCUGGAUUCUGUCCCGGUUGCCCCUCUUCCAGUCCAGCUCUCUGCUGUGGCCCGGGAGUGCAGUGGAGGAUGGCCCAGGUGCUUGGGCCCUGCACCCCAUGGGAGACCAGGAGGAGGCUCCUGGCUUCAGAUCGGCGCAGUGCCGGCCAUAGCGGCCAUUUGGGGGGUGAACUAACGGAAGGAAGACCUUUCUCUCUGUCUCUCUCUCUCACUGUCUACUCUGUCAAAAAAAAAAAAAAAGUUUCUUUGUCAAAUAAAAGUUUCUGCCUCUUU